UACGGAGGGGGCUAGCGUUGUUCGGAAUUACUGGGCGUAAAGCGUACGUAGGCGGCUUUGUAAGUUAGAGGUGAAAGCCCGGGGCUCAACCCCGGAAUUGCCUUUAAGACUGCAUCGCUUGAAUCAUGGAGAGGUGAGUGGAAUUCCGAGUGUAGAGGUGAAAUUCGUAGAUAUCGAGAGGAACACCAGUGGCGAAGGCGAGUCCCUGGACAGAUCCUGACGCUGAGGCACGAAAGCUAGGGGAGCAAACAGG
rnacentral:rRNA from 1 species